CAUGAUUCAGUGGCGGACGGGUGAGUAAUGCCUAGGAAUCUGCCUGGUAGUGGGGGACAACGUUUCGAAAGGAACGCUAAUACCGCAUACGUCCUACGGGAGAAAGUGGGGGAUCUUCGGACCUCACGCUAUCAGAUGAGCCUAGGUCGGAUUAGCUAGUUGGUGAGGUAAUGGCUCACCAAGGCGACGAUCAGUAGCUGGUCUGAGAGGAUGAUCAGCCACACUGGGACUGAGACACGGCCCAGACUCCUACGGGAGGCAGCAGUGGGGAAUAUUGGACAAUGGGCGAAAGCCUGAUCCAGCCAUGCCGCGUGUGUGAUGAAGGCCUUAGGGUUGUAAAGCACUUUAAGCGAGGAGGAGGCUACCGAGAUUAAUACUCUUGGAUAGUGGACGUUACUCGCAGAAUAAGCACCGGCUAACUCUGUGCCAGCAGCCGCGGUAAUACAGAGGGUGCAAGCGUUAAUCGGAUUUACUGGGCGUAAAGCGCGCGUAGGUGGCCAAUUAAGUCAGAUGUGAAAUCCCCGAGCUUAACUUGGGAAUUGCAUUCGAUACUGGUUGGCUAGAGUAUGGGAGAGGAUGGUAGAAUUCCAGGUGUAGCGGUGAAAUGCGUAGAGAUCUGGAGGAAUACCGAUGGCGAAGGCAGCCAUCUGGCCUAAUACUGACACUGAGGUGCGAAAGCAUGGGGAGCAAACAGGAUUAGAUACCCUGGUAGUCCAUGCCGUAAACGAUGUCUACUAGCCGUUGGGGCCUUUGAGGCUUUAGUGGCGCAGCUAACGCGAUAAGUAGACCGCCUGGGGAGUA
rnacentral:rRNA from 1 species